UUUACUAACUCCUGAGGUAAAUAUCUGGCUCUGGUAAAUGUUUCACUAUGUUCACCAGCUAGCUGUCUGCUGUUUGGUGCUGGGCAGGUAGCUACAGUUGGUUUAUCAGAACGGAAAAAAGAAUCCGGCCGAUCAAACCAACUACACCUGAAGCAGCUGCAACCGCAGCCGGAGGCUCCUUGAGUAAAAUCAGCUGAUCGCUGCUGCGCCACAAAAGUGUUUAAUUGAUGUAACGCAGCAAUCGAUCAGUUUCUAGUGAUGUGAAUAGCAAAUAAACAUGUGCAGAGAAGUGUUAAAUGAUACCAGGAGAUGAAGCCAACGGAAAGCCAAGCUUGUGGUGAUAAACUUGCAACAGUGACUGACAUGCCUGAGACCGCAGCUAAAGAUUAUUGGCUGCACUGAGAAAACCCGGACCAUUUUAUAGGUUGAAAAUAUUGGCAGGGGAAGGCAUCCUUGUGAGAAGCUCAACUACUGGACACAAGACAUAUCCUGUACUUCCCUGAAAAGUCCGUUCUCAGUGUAAGUGCAUUGGAGGCAUCAAGUUUCCAUACAACACUUGUGCCUGCACCCCUCAAUGGCAGUAACGUUUGAGGCUUUCAUCAAUGUCAGCAUCGCAGCAGAAGGAGACCAAACACAAACACAUUCACCUCAGGCAGGGACUCCCCACUCAGCUAUCACCGCCACGACCAGUGACCCUCAACAAGCUCCUCUAAGUCUCUGGAGCUGCCCCCUUCUGCAGCUCUGUCACUCUUUCCUGCAGCCAGCAUGAGUAGCAUCAAACAGCGCAGCUACGGAAAGCUUAUCAUGUCGUCGGCUUAUCUCCCAUUUUCACCUCCCCAAAGGAAUAAACACACAGACGACUGCAAGAUGGGGAAUGUACAACAACAAAGAGUCGACUCUUCAGGUUCAAUGGCCACUAGUGCACUCUCUCUGUUUUCAUUACCACAUACUGUCCUAGAAGCCAGGUAAACCCGCUGAUGAAGCUAUGGAUUAUCCUGCAUCGGAUGUGAGGUGUCGUCUGAGGCAUGAAGGACACCGGUCAUGUCAGCCAAGGCAAAGACAUAUUACAACGGAGAGCAGACCUCAAGGACUCAAGUAGA